GUGAACCUGCGGAGGAUCAUUAUCGUAGGGCUUCGGCCCUGUCGAGAUAGAACCCUUGCCUUUUUGAGUACCUUUUCGUUUCCUCGGCAGGCUCGCCUGCCAAUGGGGACCCCAACAAACACUUUGCAGUACCUGUAAACAGGUCUGAACAAACUUUAAAAAUUAAAACUUUCAACAACGGAUCUCUUGGUUCAGGCAUCGAUGAAGAACGCAGGAAAUGCGAUAAGUAGUGUGAAUUGCAGAAUUCAGUGAAUCAUCGAAUCUUUGAACGCACAUUGCGCCCUUUGGUAUUCCUUAGGGCAUGCCUGUUCGAGCGUCAUUGAACCUUCAAGCUCAGCUUGGUGUUGGGUGACUGUCCGCUUGCGGAUCGCCUCAAAAUGAUUGGCGGCCGGUACUUUUGGCUUCGAGCGCAGCAGAAACGCGAACUCGAGGCCUGUGUGCUGGCUCCCAGAAGCUAUCUUCACAAUUUUGACCUCGGAUCAGGUAGGGAUACCCGCUGAACUUAAGCAUAUCAAUAA
rnacentral:rRNA from 1 species